UAAACGAGCUUCUGCCUCGGUAGAAGUAGGUGGAUGACUCAAAGAAAGGGACUUGAGACACACUCGGCAUUCUCUGCACCUUUCUUCUCAUUUCUGCACAGUUAUAUUUUACCUAUCCUUUAGGAACUGGUUUAAAUGUUCUUCCGUGAGGCUAUAUCUAAUUCUUCUACUCCUGGUUGAAAAAUGGUGACGGACACCUUGGAAAAAAAGGGAGUGUUAGGAGGACAUUUAAAAGCAAGGAUCCGAGCUGAAGUUUUCAGUGCCCUAGAUGAUGACCAUGAACCCCAACCAUCAUUGUCUCAUGAAAACCUUCUAAUUAAUGAAUUAAUUUGGGAGUAUUUGGAAUUCAAUAAAUAUAAGUAUACAGCAUCCAUCUUCAUAGCAGAAUCUGGCCAACCUGUAGUUCCACUGGACAGACAAUUUCUUAUUUGUGAACUAAAUGCAUUUGAAGAAUCAAAGGAUAAUACAAUACCUCUUUUAUAUGGAAUUUUAGCUCAAUUUCUUACAUGGAACUAAGAAUGGCAUCCAGAAUGCAUUUCUGAAAGGGCCUUCACUUCAGCCUUCAAACCCAAAUCUUGGCAAACAACGUAGUAGAAGAAAGCAAAUGGAUGAUCACCUAAGAAAGGAAGAGGGGAAAAGUGCUAAUAUUGAAGAUUCUCUUUCUCAAGCAGUAAAGAGAUAACACUUAUAUUUAGGGUAUCUUUUAUCUUAAAAUUGUAUGUAUUAAAUAACUUACUUAUUGUCCCAAUGUUACCAAAAUGCACCACUAAUAUUUGUAUUUUGUAGAAAUUUGAGUUUCUGCAAAACAUUU